GCCUGACAAAUUUAAGAAUGUGUUUGUAUUCCCUGGGCCUGUCAUAGUGUCCCGUGCUAGAGCAACUUGCGGCCCCGAACCAUUGCCUGGCCUCUGCCUGUAGGCUGCUGGCACUGAAGUGGGUCGCACAGUA